CCCUCUGUAGCUCAACGUGCAGAGCACUGGUCUUGUAAAUCAGGGGUCUUGAGUUCAAUCCUCACAGGAGACA